rnacentral:rRNA from 1 species
UACGUAGGGGGCAAGCGUUGUCCGGAAUCAUUGGGCGUAAAGCGCGUGUAGGCGGUCCGGUAAGUCGGCUGUGAAAGUCCAGGGCUCAACCCUGGGAUGCCGGUCGAUACUGCCGGACUAGAGUUCGGAAGAGGCGAGUGGAAUUCCGGUGUAGCGGUGAAAUGCGCAGAUAUCAGGAGGAACACCGGUGGCGAAGGCGGGAUCUCUGGG